UAAUGUAUUAGAUUUUGAGAACAAAGUGUCUUCUUAAACAUGACUGCAUUCUUUUCAUUCACUUGUAAUACCCAUAAAUCAACGUUUCAUACAUACUUAACGAUUUUUUGGACAAGGAGAAGUUCUUUAUAUAUCUUUAGUAAGAUACACCUUUAUAAAUAUUUCUUUGGUGAAGGUAUAGGUAUCAACCGCAAAUGGCGCUAUUCAUAUACUAUUCUUUGUCAAGUAAAAAGACAAAUUGAAGACUUGAACAGUCGGAGCCUUUUGAAGCAUUUUUGGAAAAUAGAAAUGGCCAUAAUGGGUUUAGAAACAAACAACAAGGAAAAUGAAGAGCCUGGAGACCAUACCAAAGAAAAGAAAGAAACAGACAUGAAGAGGGACACUUCGGAUGGGCAGAGAAAGGAUGCAAUUGAUCGAGUGGAUGAAGCUCCAGAAGCUUCCAUUAGUGGCGUGAUAUUAAAAGUCACAGAUCUGGUCCGCGGAGAAGACGAAGCAAUAUGGUCGGUCGAGCAGAAAAUCUAGAAGCUGCGACUGCUCGACAGUUUAGUACAGUGAAUCAGGAGACACAACCAAGGGGAAACUGUACAAAUAGACUCAACAGAAGAACAUUUAUAAUUGUCAUUGCCAUAGUUUCUGUUUUACUAUUAAUUGUAAUUGUAGUCAUUGUACUGUUCACUUUGAAAGUUAUUUAAGGAACAAACUUUAGAGCUACCCACCUUAAACUCUAUAAUCUGGUUUGUACUUUAUUGAUUGCAUAGCGACUCAUAAAAAUAAAAUUUUCUCGGCAUGGGAACUUUAGAAAUUACUCUUAUUAUAUGAAUAACCCGCUUG